AGUGAACGCUGGCGGUAGGCCUAACACAUGCAAGUCGAACGGCAGCACAGUAAGAGCUUGCUCUUACGGGUGGCGAGUGGCGGACGGGUGAGGAAUACAUAGGAAUCUACUUUUUCGUGGGGGAUAACGUAGGGAAACUUACGCUAAUACAGCAUACGACCUACGGGUGAAAGCAGGGGAUCUUCGGACCUUGCGCGAUUGAAUGAGCCGAUGUCGGAUUAGCUAGUUGGCGGGGUAAAGGCCCACCAAGGCAACGAUCCGUAGCUGGUCUGAGAGGAUGAUCAGCCACACUGGAACUGAGACACGGUCCAGACUCCUACGGGAGGCAGCAGUGGGGAAUAUUGGACAAUGGGCGCAAGCCUGAUCCAGCCAUACCGCGUGGGUGAAGAAGGUCUUCGGGUUGUAAAGCCCUUUUGUUGGGAAAGAAAAGCAGCAGGUUAAUACCCCGCUGUUCUGACGGUACCCAAAGAAUAAGCACCGGCUAACUUCGUG
rnacentral:rRNA from 1 species